rnacentral:rRNA from 1 species
UACGUAGGGGGCAAGCGUUGUCCGGAUUUAUUGGGCGUAAAGAGCGUGUAGGCGGCCAGAUAGGUCUGUUGUGAAAACUCGAGGCUCAACCUCGAGACGCCGAUGGAAACCAUCUGGCUAGAGUCCGGAAGAGGAGACUGGAAUUCCUGGUGUAGCGGUGAAAUGCGCAGAUAUCAGGAGGAACACCGGUGGCGAAGGCGGGUCUCUGGGCCGUAACUGACGCUGAGGAGCGAAAGCAUGGGUAGCGAACAGG